rfam:Habropoda laboriosa contig8154, whole genome shotgun sequence.
GGCGCAAUGCGUAAAGCCUCGGCUUGCUAAGCCGAAGGUCCCGGGUUCGAGUCCCGGUUGGGUCC